CCCGCGGCUCGCCCGCCGCUCGGGAGCGCGCCCCGCUCUCCCCGCCCGCGCCCGCCGCAGCGCCGCUCCCUGCAGCCGCCCGGCGGGGUGUGGGGGAGGCGGCCGCUCGCUCCUGCCCGUCCGCCCGCCCGUCCGCCGCCUCGCAGGCCGCACCGAUCCCCUCAGAAAAUGAUGCACCCUGUUGCCAGCAGUAAUGCAGCUUUCUGUGGGACCGGCAAGAGUUCUUGCCUUAAUGAAGACAAUGUGAGAUCUGCUGAUCAGUUUGAUUUGUACGCCACGCAGCAAAGUAAAUACGGCCACGCGGUUGGCCACAAACCAAUUGCAUGCCAGAGACAAGACGCGUUGAACGAAUCGCACUUGCAGACCACAAGUGGCAGGAAUAUAGAGACAAAAGACGAACUAAAGAAAAAGAAAAACCUCAACCGAUCUGGUAAACGUGGAAGGCCAUCAGGGACCACAAAAUCAGCAGGGUACCGAACCAGCACAGGUCGACCCCUGGGGACCACCAAAGCAGCUGGAUUUAAGACAAGUCCAGGCAGACCCUUGGGUACAACUAAAGCAGCAGGAUACAAAGUCAGCCCAGGCAGACCUCCAGGUAGCAUUAAAGCUCUAUCACGGCUUGCAAAUCUAAGUUAUACGUGUGGCAGUGCAGCUUUUCCCUAUCCUAUGGUGCAUAACAGAGGAGUACAUGCUGCUGGUGAAACUAGUAGCAAAAUGAAACAGCCUAAUGAAUGAAAGGAGGGAAUUAGUAACUCCUUACUAAUCCGCUUUACUCUGAAUUUUGGCAUGUUUCUUGCAUUUUGUUGUAGUGUUUGCCUAAGUCUGAGUUUCCUAGAUUUUGUUUUUAUUCAAAUAACGCCACAGCCUAGGAGUGCAAUUCAGUAACUUAAAGCAAUGUGGAGAGGGCACUGGUUUAAAGGGGGUUUUGUUGGUUUUAAAUCAUAAUUUAUAGGCAAGUCUGAAGUGUUGCGUAUGCCUUGGUGUCGAUACUUACGUAAUGUCCAUGUCCCUAUUUUUACAUUCACUUUCUGGUAAAUGUAGUUGUAUAGUUACACAUUAAAUAAUUGAAAUAAGGAGGACAGAAUUAGCUGGCUGUUGGUUCAUGAUGUGGCCUAUCCCGCAAUAAGGAAUUUAACCAGGAAAAAAGCAGCAAGCCUUCAGGUGUUCCAGUGAUGCCUAACACAUAUUGAGCUGGACUUUAUGCUGUACUUUACAAUAGGUGUGUUGAAUUGUUUUGGGGGAACUGUGUAUGCACUGGCAACUAAGACAAUGAACCUCAACUAUACUGGAUGGCUCCUUAAUCAAUAGAUGAACUAAUGGCAGCUAAACUGCUACUAAACAAUAGUUUCUUCACACUGAAGCUAUGAAAUCCAGUUAUACGUUCUGUUCCUCAACAAAGUCGCAAGUCUGAAAUUUAGCAAUCUUUCUCAGAACGAUGUAACUUCUGACACAUGCAAAAUGCGAACGUGAGUUAAUUCACCCUCAGGAUCUGUGUUGUAUUGGCUGUUUUUAAUCAGAUGAUUUUUCAACAAAAGACUGCUUUAAGUUCUUUCUGAACUCAGCUGGGAAAGCAGUCCUCUUCAGCUGAAUGUAGUAACUGCAGGAGCGUCACACCUCGCUGGCAAGGAACGUGUUGCAUGUCACCACUGUACCUUGGAGAAACUCCACUUCUUACCUCCUCCUCUUUCUCCCGUUGGCUCCUGUUCCAUUUCUCACUUGUGCAUCGACUCGAUGGUGCUGUGCUGUGUGUCAGGAGAUAAUGCAGAUGUAUUGCCGUUCUGCUUGUAGAAGGAAUUUUGUAUUCAAGUAUGCUGAUGAAAUAAUGAAAUCAUCUAAGCAAUUUCUGUUCAUUACCAUUUUUAUUAAUUAGAUCAGAUGGAAUAUAAUCCCAGUGAAAAACAAUUAACGUUGUCAAUUGUGAAAUGAUGAGCAGUAGAAAAGUGUUCAGAGAGUCUAAUGGGUUGCUUGGCACUCUGGAUUUAGCAAGGAGACCAGAAUUGCGCUGCUGGGCAUUUCCUGGCGCUGGUUUAUUUUAUAUGUUUUAUUUUACUGGUGCCAUGCAGCGAGGGGAAGAAAAAAGAAGUUAAGAGAUUCAAAGUGAACUAGAAGUGGAAUUUUCAAAUACUUCUGCUUUUCCUAUGUAUAAUCUGCAGAAUACAUUGUGCUUUUUUUUCAACACUUUUCUUUCCAUGACAAACACUGAAACAGCAUGUUAAUGCCUAAACUUUAUUAGUACCAAUGGGAAAACUGGCCUUUUCCCCCCAUAGUAUAAAAACAUUACUUGUAAGGUAAAUUGCUUAUUUUAUAUUAUAUAUCAUAAUUCAGCUAUUCAUAAGCUAGGAUCACUGUUGUGUGUUAACACUGUUCAGAAGAUCUAAAUGUCAAGUUUGUUUUUUAAUAAUUCCUUUUAAUUAUCAAGUUUCUAAUGUCUUAUUUAUACAUAAAUGAAAUGUAUUAGCUUGCUAUUAUUCCUUAAUGAUGCUAUACAAGUUCACUGUUUAAUAUACAUAUAGUAACUACUAUUCAGUUUCUGAUUAAAUUUACUUAAACUUUAAAACCAAAUAAUUUUGCUACUAUAAAGUCUUGCACUGGACAUAUUCAAGAUGCUAGCACCGUAUUUUGGCAGAAGAAAAUCAGAUACUAUCAGAAGUGGCUGACUUUGAUAUCAAAGAUAGUAUUUUUAAAAUCAGCGGUUAGCUUUGUCAUUAAAGCAAUGUUCUUUAUAGCUUGGAUUUAGUUUGAACUACUCAAAAUAACUAUGUAUCAAGAGCCAUUAAAGAUCUCUGUUCCGAAUGAAUAUAUUUUCAUUUUGUCUGAAAGAUCUUAAGAGUUCAGUCAGGACAAAACCAAGCCUUGUCAGUGAAAAGUGAUGUGUCUGUGAAAAGAAUUACUUGGAACUACAACAUACAGAGUAAUUCAGAUGAGAAUUUAACUCCCUCCCCCAUUUUUGAAGAGCUUUAAAAGGCAGAGCAAUGUGAAGUCAUUUGUCCGAUGGUUUCAUUAGCUGUGACUCUGCUGUUCUUUGUUGUAUGUAUAAUAAUGUUUCACGCUAUCCUUAGAGUUGACAGUUAAAACAGUUGAUAACAAUCAUAAAUACUUUGAACCACAGACUUCAUUUCUGACCACAAAAGAAGUUUAUUCUUCUCUAUUUUAAUGCAUAUAUUUUAACACUGCUUAAAUAUAUUUAUGACUUUAGUAGAGACUAGACCUUUCUCCUUGUGAUUUUUUUUUUCCCAAAUAGAUAAAUCUGUAAUCUGAAAUUUGAACCACUUUCUGAUACUUUAAUCUUUCAUCAUUUACUUUUCCACAGGUUUACUUUGGGGAAGACAGUAAUCUGUUAAAUAACUAGUAUCAGCACCCCAUCCUCUGCUGUAAAAAGCCUGACUAGAUACUGUGUAUGUUUUUAUGUCCAUGAACUUGAGCUACUCGUGUGCAAUUAUGUGUAUGGGAAUGGAGUAGUGUUCAUGAUCUGUAUUUACAUCAUCAUAUGGAUGUAUAUUUAUUAAUAAAGUUAAUACUUUAAAACCUAA